rnacentral:sRNA from 1 species
UUUCACCCUUUUUCCGAUUUUAUUAUAUUUAUAGUCGUGUAGGGCAGAAUAAUCGAACAAUUUGCUUUCGUUUACGUUAAUUGUUAUAAUUUAAUUCUCGGUGUCUGCUGGCCAUAUUCCAUUGUUUAUAAGUUUUACUAAGGAUUGUGCAAGUAGAGGAGUCGAUUAAGCGUGCCAGGGAAGGCGUUUUGUUUAUUUGCGUGUCCAAUAUGAGGGUAUGGAAUGCCGUUUAAAUACAGAAAUGAUGACAAUCAAACUGCUAACACAGCUUUAAUGCAGGAAAGCGUUUUAGUUAUU